rnacentral:tRNA from 1 species
AGUAGAAUGGCUGAGAUAUGAAGGUGAUAGAUUGUAAAUCUAUAUAGGAGUAUAUUACUCUUUUACUA